CAAGGAAUAUUGCGCAAUGGACGGAAGUCUGACGCAGCGACGCCGCGGGGAUGAUGAAGGCCUUCGGGUUGUAAAAUCCUUUUCAGGGGGAAGAGCGAGGACGGUACCCCUGGAAUAAGCUUCGGCUAACUACGUGCCAGCAGCCGCGGUAAGACGUAGGACGCGAGCGUUAUCCUGAUUUACUGGGCGUAAAGCGUCUGUAGGCGGAAGUGUAAGUUGGGCGUGAAAGCUCCGGGCUCAACUCGGAGAGGCCGUUCAA
rnacentral:rRNA from 1 species